AAAUUUAGGAUAAGUAAAACCAAGGGCCUUCAAAGCCCCAAACAGAGGACCACCCCUCUAAUUUCUG
rnacentral:tRNA from 1 species